rnacentral:tRNA from 1 species
UCCCUGGUGGCUCAGAGGCUAAAGCAUCUGCCUGCAAUGUAGGAGACCUGGGUUCGAUCCCUGGGUAAGGAA